AGCUCCAAGAACGUAUAUUAAAGUUGUUGCGGUUAAAAAGCUCGUAGUUGGAUUUCUGUCGAGGACGGCCGGUCCGCACUUUGUGCGUGUAUCUGGUUCGGCCUUGGCAUCCUCUUGGAGAACGUGUUGCAAUUAAUUUUGUGGUGCGGGUUCCAAGACUUUUACUUUGAGGAAAUUAGAGUGUUCACGGCAGGCAAUCGCCUUGAAUAUGUUAGCAUGGAAUAAUAAUAUAGGCAGGAGUUCCUAUUUUGUUGGUUUCUAGGAGCUCUUGAAUGAUAAAUAGGGACAGUUGGGGGCAUUCGUAUUACGACGUCAGAGGUGGAAUUCUUAGAUUGUCGUACGACGAACUACUGCGAAAGC
rnacentral:rRNA from 1 species